rnacentral:rRNA from 1 species
GAGACUCUGUGCGCGUGCAUAUCAAUAAGCGGAGGAAAAGAAACUAACAAGGAUUCCCCUAGUAACGGCGAGUGAAGCGGGAAGAGCUCAAAUUUGAAAUCUUAAAGGGUUUCCCUUUACGAAUUGUAGUUUAAAGAAGUGUUUUCUGUUGGAGUUUCGGUAAAAGUUCUUUGGAAUAGGACAUCAUAGAGGGUGAGAAUCCCGUAUUUGACCGUUACUUUCCAGCUGUGUGAUAUACUUUCAGAGAGUCGGAUUGUUUGGGAAUGCAGUCCAAGAUGGGUGGUAAAUUUCAUCUAAAGCUAAAUAUUGGCGAGAGACCGAUAGCGAACAAGUACCGUGAGGGAGAGAUGAAAAGAACUUUGAAAAGAGAGUUAAACAGUACGUGAAAUUGUCAAAAGGGAAGCGUUUGACACCAGUGUUGUUUUCUCGAAAAUCAAUUAAAAAAGCCUGAUUUUGUGUUGUAUUGACCUUAAAAGCUUUCUUCACUCCUUUCUUGUCUUUUUAAUGCACUUUUCGUUUAACAAGUCAACAUCAGUUUCUUUUGUUGUAAAAGGGUCAUUGGAAGGUGGCUUUCUUUUCGGAGAAAGUGUUUAUAGCCUUUGAUGCUCUGCAAUCGGAGAGACUGAGGUCUGCAGCGUAGACUCUUCGGGGUUAGGAUACAGUUUGUGCUAAGCUAUAGCUUUUAUAGACAACUUGUUAGACUAUAGUUUAGUCUUGUAGCUUACUCGCUGAUGCUAUUUUACCUACGCUUAGGAUGUUGACAGCAGUAUAGACUGU